rnacentral:rRNA from 1 species
CUACAAUGGCGUAAACAAAGGGAAGCGAAGGCGUGAGCGUAAGCAAAACCCAAAAAUAACGUCCCAGUUCGGAUUGUAGUCUGCAACCCGACUACAUGAAGCUGGAAUCGCUAGUAAUCGCGGAUCAGAAUGCCGCGGUGAAUACGUUCCCGGGCCUUAGUACACACCGCCCGUCACACCAUGGGAGCCGGUAAUACCCGAAGUCAGUAGUCCAACCACGUGAGGACGCUGCCGAAGGUAGGAUUGGCGACUGGGGUGAAGUCGUAACAAGGUAGC